AACUAGUCGCUUCUUAUAUAUACUAGUUUUUCAUCGAUGUGCAUUAGAUUUGACGUUAAACCGUUCAAAGAUCUCUUUAGUAGAUAAGCUCAAAUAAAUAUGUAGACUAGAUCAAGUAGAAGUGAAUGGAAGGUCAAAGCCAUCAGACACACACAACGAAGCCCAAUGCAAACGUGAUUCAAGUGUCAACAAAAGCUAUGCUUCUUUUCUUACCAUUUCUUUUUCAUUUUCAUAUUUUCUAACCAAUCACUUGUUUCGUAGUCAAAUUCUACCCAAAAAAAUUAUAUGUUUUAGAAAAUUAUUGUUUUUUAGAUUUUAAUUUUUAACUUUAUUUUAUUUUA
rnacentral:lncRNA from 1 species